AUGCGAAAGGUCCGGCGUAGAGGGUAAGACCCCCGUAGUCGAAACAUCAGCGGCUCGUUUGAGAGACACCCAAGUAGCACGGGGCCCGAGAAAUCCCGUGUGAAUCUGGCGGGACCACCCGCUAAGCCUAAAUAUUCCCUGGUGACCGAUAGCGGAUAGUACCGUGAGGGAAUGGUGAAAAGUACCGCGGGAGCGGAGUGAAAUAGUACCUGAAACCGUGUGCCUACAAGCCGUGGGAGCGUCGCGCAUCGAGUUUGCUCGGUGCGUCGUGACUGCGUGCCUUUUGAAGAAUGAGCCUGCGAGUUAGCGGUGUGUAGCGAGGUUAACCCGUGUGGGGAAGCCGUAGCGAAAGCGAGUCCGAAGAGGGCGUUUGAGUUGCACGCUCUAGACCCGAAGCGGAGUGAUCUAGCCAUGGGCAGGUUGAAGCGGCUGUAAGAGGUCGUGGAGGACCGAACCCACCAGGGUUGAAAACCUGGGGGAUGACCUGUGGUUAGGGGUGAAAGGCCAAUCAAACUCCGUGAUAGCUGGUUCUCCCCGAAAUGCAUUUAGGUGCAGCGUCGUGUGUUUCUUGCCGGAGGUAGAGCACUGGAUAGGCGAUGGGCCCUACCGGGUUACUGACCUUAGCCAAACUCCGAAUGCCGGUAAGUGAGAGCGCGGCAGUGAGACUGUGGGGGAUAAGCUCCAUGGUCGAGAGGGAAACAGCCCAGAGCAUCGACUAAGGCCCCUAAGCGUACGCUAAGUGGGAAAGGAUGUGGAGUCGCAGAGACAACCAGGAGGUUGGCUUAGAAGCAGCCACCCUUGAAAGAGUGCGUAAUAGCUCACUGGUCUAGUGAUUCCGCGCCGACAAUGUAGCGGGGCUCAAGCGUACCGCCGAAGUCGUGUCAUUGCAGCAAUACUCCUAACGGGGGCUGUGAUGGGUAGGGGAGCGUCGUGUGCCGGGUGAAGCAGCCGUGGAAGCGAGUUGUGGACGGUUCACGAGUGAGAAUGCAGGCAUGAGUAGCGAUUCACACGUGAGAAACGUGUGCGCCGAUUGACUAAGGGUUCCUGGGUCAAGCUGAUCUGCCCAGGGUAAGUCGGGACCUAAGGCGAGGCCGACAGGCGUAGUCGAUGGAUAACCGGUUGAUAUUCCGGUACCCGCUGUGAAGCGUCAAACAUUGAAUCCAGUGAUGCUAAGCCCGUGAAGCCGUUCCGGACCCUUCGGGGAAUGGAAAGUGGUGGAGCCGGUGGCCCGAGCUGGUAGUAGGUGAGUGAUGGGGUGACGCAGGAAGGUAGUCCAUCCCGGGCGGUGGUUGUCCCGGGGUAAGGGUGUAGGACGUCAGGUAGGUAAAUCCGCCUGGCAUAGAGUCUGAGACCUGAUGCCGAGCCGAUUGUGGUGAAGUGGAUGAUCCUAUGCUGUCGAGAAAAGCCUCUAGCGAGUUUCAUGGCGGCCCGUACCCUAAACCGACUCAGGUGGUCAGGUAGAGAAUACCGAGGCGUUCGGGUGAACUAUGGUUAAGGAACUCGGCAAAAUGCCCCCGUAACUUCGGGAGAAGGGGGGCCAUGUCUGGUGAUGAGUCUUGCACUCUGAGCUGGGUGUGGCCGCAGAGACCAGCGAGAAGCGACUGUUUACUAAAAACACAGGUCCGUGCGAAGCCGUAAGGCGAUGUAUACGGACUGACGCCUGCCCGGUGCUGGAACGUUAAGGGGACCGGUUAGUCACAUUUCGGUGUGGCGAAGCUGAGAACUUAAGCGCCAGUAAACGGCGGUGGUAACUAUAACCAUCCUAAGGUAGCGAAAUUCCUUGUCGGGUAAGUUCCGACCUGCACGAAUGGCGUAACGACUUCUCGACUGUCUCAACCAUAGGCCCGGUGAAAUUGCAUUACGAGUAAAGAUGCUCGUUUCGCGCAGCAGGACGGAAAGACCCCGGGACCUUUACUACAGUUUGAUAUUGGUGUUCGGUUCGGCUUGUGUAGGAUAGGUGGG
rnacentral:rRNA from 1 species